rnacentral:rRNA from 1 species
UGUAAGCGUAUACCAAAGUUGUUGCAGUUAAAACGCUCGUAGUCGGAAUUUGGCAGUUCCGGAUAUGUGCACGUCGUGUGCGCACUUCGCGGGGAUUGCUUUUGUGGUCUUGCGUAGGAUGAGGCACUUUUAUUAGUGAACGUCCUCACGCAACCACUCUUUACUGUGAGAAAAUCAGAGUGCUCAAAGCAGGCAUUUGCCGUGAAUGUAUUAGCAUGGAAUAAUAGAAUAGGACUUGGUUCUAUUUUGUUGGUUUGUUGGGACUGAGUAAUGAUUAAGAGGGACAGUUGGGGGCAUUUGUAUUUCGGUGCUAGAGGUGAAAUUCUUAGAUUACCGAAAGACAAACUGCUGCGAAAGCGUCUGCCAAGGAUGUUUUCAUUGA